rnacentral:rRNA from 1 species
GACGAACGCUGGCGGCGCGCUUCACACAUGCAAGUCGAACGAGAAGCCCGGGCUUGCCCGGGUGGAAAGUGGCGAACGGGUGAGUAACACGUGAGCAAUCUGCCCCGAAGACCGGGAUAACACCGGGAAACCGGUGCUAAUACCGGAUGUCCUCGCCGGACCGCAUGAUCCGGCGAGGAAAUGGUCAGCCGCUUCGGGAUGGGCUCGCGGCCUAUCAGCUUGUUGGUGGGGUAAAGGCCCACCAAGGCGACGACGGGUAGCUGGUCUGAGAGGAUGUCCAGCCACACUGGGACUGAGACACGGCCCAGACUCCUACGGGUGGCUG